rnacentral:rRNA from 1 species
GACGAACGCUGGCGGCGUGCUUAACACAUGCAAGUCGAACGGAAAGGCCCUGCUUUUGUGGGGUGCUCGAGUGGCGAACGGGUGAGUAACACGUGAGUAACCUGCCCUUGACUUUGGGAUAACUUCAGGAAACUGGGGCUAAUACCGGAUAGGAGCUCCUGCUGCAUGGUGGUGGUUGGAAAGUUUCGGCGGUUGGGGAUGGACUCGCGGCUUAUCAGCUUGUUGGUGGGGUAGUGGCUUACCAAGGCUUUGACGGGUAGCCGGCCUGUGAGGGUGACCGGCCACAUUGGGACUGAGAUACGGCCCAGACUCCUACGGGAGGCAGCAGUGGGGAAUAUUGCACAAUGGGCGGAAGCCUGAUGCAGCAACGCCGCGUGCGGGAUGACGGCCUUCGGGUUGUAAACCGCUUUCGCCUGUGACGAAGCGUGAGUGACGGUAAUGGGUAAAGAAGCACCGGCUAACUACGUG